rnacentral:rRNA from 1 species
CCUGACCCAGCGACGCCGCGUGGGUGAAGAAGGCCUUCGGGUUGUAAAGCCCUGUCACGGGGGACGAUAGUGACGGUACCCUGGGAGGAAGCCCCGGCUAACUACGUGCCAGCAGCCGCGGUAACACGUAGGGGGCGAGCGUUGUCCGGAAUUACUGGGCGUAAAGGGCGCGUAGGCGGUUAGCCGUGUCAGGUGUGAAAGGCUGGGGCUUAACCCCAGACCUGCACUUGAGACUGGCUAACUUGAGGGCAGGAGAGGCAGGUGGAAUUCCUGGUGUAGCGGUGAAAUGCGUAGAUAUCAGGAGGAACACCGGUGGCGAAGGCGACCUGCUGGACUGGCCCUGACGCUGAGGCGCGAAAGCGUGGGGAGCGAACAGGAUUAGAUACCCUGGUAGUCCACGCUGUAAACGAUGGGUACUAGGUGUAGGGGGUUAUGAUACCCUCUGUGCCGUAGCUAACGCGAUAAGUACCCCGCCUGGGGAGUACGGCCGCAAGGUUGAAACUC